rnacentral:rRNA from 1 species
CACCGCGGUUAUACGAGAGGCCCAAGUUGACAGAAGCCGGCGUAAAGGGUGGUUAAUAGCACAAACACUAAGGCCGAACAUCUUCAAGGCUGUCAUACGCACCCGAAGACAGGAAGAACUUACACGAAAGUAGCCUUAACAUACUAUGAAGCCACGAAAGCUAGGAAA